GUACUCGCUUCGGCAUCAUAUAUACUAAAAUUGGAAUGACACAGAGAAGAUAGCAUGGCCCCUGCACAAGAAUAACACACAAAUUUGUGAAGCAUUCCAUAUCUUU